AAAAGUACAUUAAACCAAUUGGUGAAUUACGGUGCAAUUCCGUAGAAGUGCCGCUACUGUUACAUCCAGAGCCCAAUCUUUUAGUCCCGAGCAGGAAUAUGUCACACAUAGAGUCUCCAACAAAAACAAU
rnacentral:ncRNA from 24 species